UACGGGAGGCAGCAGUGGGGAAUAUUGCACAAUGGGCGAAAGCCUGAUGCAGCUAUGCCGCGUGUAUGAAGAAGGCCUUAGGGUUGUAAAGUACUUUCAUCGGGGAGGAAAAAACAAAACUAAUAAUUUUAUUUCUUGACGUUACCCGAAAAAGAAGCACCGGCUAACUCCGUGCCAGCAGCCGCGGUAAUACGGAGGGUGCUAGCGUUAAUCAGAAUUACUGGGCGUAAAGAGCACGUAGGUGGUUUUUUUAAAGUCAGAUGUGAAAUCCCUGGGCUUAACCUGGAACUGCAUUUUGAAACUGAAAUACUAGAGUAUCGUAGAGGGAGGUAGAAUUCUAGGUGUAGCGGUGAAAUGCGUAGAUAUCUGGAGGAAUACCUGUGGCGAAAGCGGCCUCCUAAACGAAUACUGACACUGAGGUGCGAAAGCGUGGGGAACAAACAGGGAUUAGAUACC
rnacentral:rRNA from 1 species